rfam:Triticum aestivum genome assembly, contig: Triticum_aestivum_CS42_TGACv1_scaffold_148275_2BS
CUUGUGCUCCCUCCGUCUGGAAAUACUUGUCGAAGAAAUGAAUAAAAAAAUGAAUGUAUCUAGAACUAAAAUACAUCUAGAUACAUCCAUUCCUCCGAUGAGUAUUUGCGGACGGAGGGGGACUAC